rnacentral:rRNA from 1 species
UACGGGGGGAGCAAGCGUUGUUCGGAUUUACUGGGCGUAAAGGGCGCGUAGGCGGUCAGCACAAGUCAGUUGUGAAAUCUCCGGGCUUAACUCGGAAAGGUCAACUGAUACUGUGCGACUAGAGUGCGGAAGGGGCAACUGGAAUUCUCGGUGUAGCGGUGAAAUGCGUAGAUAUCCGGAAGAACACCAAAGGCGAAGGCAGUGUCCUGGCUCGUAUCUGACGCUCAGGGGCGAAAGCCAGGGGAGCGAACGGG